UGCGGUAGGGGGCUGCGACACGGAAUUUCUAUCUUGCCUUUUACCAGACAGAACCGGUUUCGGCCCUUAAUAUAUCGCAUGCUAUUUUUUGGCUUUGCAUCUUAUUUCGAGAUGCU
rnacentral:snRNA from 1 species